rnacentral:rRNA from 1 species
GGUUAAGCGACUAAGCGUACACGGUGGAUGCCCUGGCAGUCAGAGGCGAUGAAGGACGUGCUAAUCUGCGAAAAGCGUCGGUAAGGUGAUAUGAACCGUUAUAGCCGGCGAUGUCCGAAUGGGGAAACCCAGUGUGAUUCGUCACACUAUCGUUAACUGAAUACAUAGGUUAACGAGGCGAACCGGGGGAACUGAAACAUCUAAGUACCCCGAGGAAAAGAAAUCAACCGAGAUUCCCCCAGUAGCGGCGAGCGAACGGGGAGCAGCCCAGAGUCUGAAUCAGCUUGUGUGUUAGUGGAACGGUCUGGAAAGUCCGACGGUACAGGGUGAUAGUCCCGUACACCAAAAUGCACAGGUUGUGAACUCGAAGAGUAGGGCGGGACACGUGGUAUCCUGUCUGAAUAUGGGGGGACCAUCCUCCAAGGCUAAAUACUCCUGACUGACCGAUAGUGAACCAGUACCGUGAGGGAAAGGCGAAAAGAACCCCGGCGAGGGGAGUGAAAAAGAACCUGAAACCGUGUACGUACAAGCAGUGGGAGCACCUUCGGGUGUGACUGCGUACCUUUUGUAUAAUGGGUCAGCGACUUAUAUUCUGUAGCAAGGUUAACCGUAUAGGGGAGCCGCAGGGAAACCGAGUCUUAACUGGGCGUUAAGUUGCAGGGUAUAGACCCGAAACCCGGUGAUCUAGCCAUGGGCAGGUUGAAGGUUGGGUAACACUAACUGGAGGACCGAACCGACUAAUGUUGAAAAAUUAGCGGAUGACUUGUGGCUGGGGGUGAAAGGCCAAUCAAACCGGGAGAUAGCUGGUUCUCCCCGAAAGCUAUUUAGGUAGCGCCUCGUGAAUUCAUCUUCGGGGGUAGAGCACUGUUUCGGCUAGGGGGUCAUCCCGACUUACCAACCCGAUGCAAACUACGAAUACCGAAGAAUGUUAUCACGGGAGACACACGGCGGGUGCUAACGUCCGUCGUGAAGAGGGAAACAACCCAGACCGCCAGCUAAGGUCCCAAAGUCAUGGUUAAGUGGGAAACGAUGUGGGAAGGCACAGACAGCCAGGAUGUUGGCUUAGAAGCAGCCAUCAUUUAAAGAAAGCGUAAUAGCUCACUGGUCGAGUCGGCCUGCGCGGAAGAUGUAACGGGGCUAAACCAUGCACCGAAGCUGCGGCAGCGACACUAUGUGUUGUUGGGUAGGGGAGCGUUCUGUAAGCCUGCGAAGGUGUGCUGUGAGGCAUGCUGGAGGUAUCAGAAGUGCGAAUGCUGACAUAAGUAACGAUAAAGCGGGUGAAAAGCCCGCUCGCCGGAAGACCAAGGGUUCCUGUCCAACGUUAAUCGGGGCAGGGUGAGUCGACCCCUAAGGCGAGGCCGAAAGGCGUAGUCGAUGGGAAACAGGUUAAUAUUCCUGUACUUGGUGUUACUGCGAAGGGGGACGGAGAAGGCUAUGUUAGCCGGGCGACGGUUGUCCCGGUUUAAGCAUGUAGGCUGGUUGUUCAGGCAAAUCCGGAUAAUCAAGGCUGAGGUGUGAUGACGAGGCACUACGGUGCUGAAGUAACAAAUGCCCUGCUUCCAGGAAAAGCCUCUAAGCAUCAGGUAACAUUAAAUCGUACCCCAAACCGACACAGGUGGUCAGGUAGAGAAUACCAAGGCGCUUGAGAGAACUCGGGUGAAGGAACUAGGCAAAAUGGUGCCGUAACUUCGGGAGAAGGCACGCUGGUGUGUAGGUGAAGUCCCUGCGGAUGGAGCUGAGACCAGUCGAAGAUACCAGCUGGCUGCAACUGUUUAUUAAAAACACAGCACUGUGCAAACACGAAAGUGGACGUAUACGGUGUGACGCCUGCCCGGUGCCGGAAGGUUAAUUGAUGGGGUUAUCCGUAAGGAGAAGCUCUUGAUCGAAGCCCCGGUAAACGGCGGCCGUAACUAUAACGGUCCUAAGGUAGCGAAAUUCCUUGUCGGGUAAGUUCCGACCUGCACGAAUGGCGUAAUGAUGGCCAGGCUGUCUCCACCCGAGACUCAGUGAAAUUGAACUCGCUGUGAAGAUGCAGUGUACCCGCGGCAAGACGGAAAGACCCCGUGAACCUUUACUAUAGCUUGACACUGAACAUUGAGCCUUGAUGUGUAGGAUAGGUGGGAGGCUUUGAAGCGUGGACGCCAGUCUGCGUGGAGCCAACCUUGAAAUACCACCCUUUAAUGUUUGAUGUUCUAACGUUGGCCCCUUACCGGGGUUGCGGACAGUGUCUGGUGGGUAGUUUGACUGGGGCGGUCUCCUCCCAAAGCGUAACGGAGGAGCACGAAGGUUAGCUAAUCCUGGUCGGACAUCAGGAGGUUAGUGCAAUGGCAUAAGCUAGCUUGACUGCGAGCGUGACGGCGCGAGCAGGUGCGAAAGCAGGUCAUAGUGAUCCGGUGGUUCUGAAUGGAAGGGCCAUCGCUCAACGGAUAAAAGGUACUCCGGGGAUAACAGGCUGAUACCGCCCAAGAGUUCAUAUCGACGGCGGUGUUUGGCACCUCGAUGUCGGCUCAUCACAUCCUGGGGCUGAAGUAGGUCCCAAGGGUAUGGCUGUUCGCCAUUUAAAGUGGUACGCGAGCUGGGUUUAGAACGUCGUGAGACAGUUCGGUCCCUAUCUGCCGUGGGCGCUGGAGAAUUGAGGGGGGCUGCUCCUAGUACGAGAGGACCGGAGUGGACGCAUCACUGGUGUUCGGGUUGUCAUGCCAAUGGCACUGCCCGGUAGCUAAAUGCGGAAGAGAUAAGUGCUGAAAGCAUCUAAGCACGAAACUUGCCCCGAGAUGAGUUCUCCCUGAGACUUUAAGUCUCCUGAAGGAACGUUGAAGACGACGACGUUGAUAGGCCGGGUGUGUAAGCGCAGCGAUGCGUUGAGCUAACCGGUACUAAUGAACCGUGAGGCUUAACCUU